UUCAACCUAUGCAUAUGGUAUAAGUAUAUAAAUCUCAACUCUAAAAUACGUAGGUUUUUCAAAUGGGCUUCACAAAUGAAAAUAAUAAUGUUUUUCUUAUAUCUUUUUAAGGUAUCUACUACUUCUUAUUCGUGAGUUUCAUUUUCACUAUUCCUACAAAACCUCCAAUCGCUGCUCGCCACGUGUCUGCGUCUUUACCCCUUUUUUUCCAGCUUGAACUUGCCAAACGCCGUGUUUUCCUCUUUCCCUGUUCAUCCCCUACCAUGACGAACCCUAGAUUGCUUUCCCGUGUUCUCUCCCCCUUUCUACCAACUCUGAAGUACAACUCACACUCUUCUGUUGUGUGCAUCUCAAUUCAUCCUCUUCACCGUCAGAAUUGCUCUGCCACCCUCACCACAACCUAAAUCGAGCACCACCGCCAUCACUCCCUAUCGCGUCACUGCCCUUUCGUCCCUUUCCUCGAUUUCCGAUGAUUUCCGACGUCACUUGGUGCAUAAACUUACUUUCCACGAUCCUUGGCGUGCUCCCAUGGAUUCUCCAGUGAUGGCCAUCACGUCGCCCUCAUUACGUGGGGGGUCUUUGUAAUAGUUCUUUUUUUUAACUUUAACACACUGUAGCUUAGCACUUCUCACACGUUUUCGCAUAGUUUCAUCAGUUUUAUGAUAUUUUUUAUCUGAUAUUGUUGAGUAGAUAUGCAUUUUUUGGUUGAUUUGGUACUUGGUUUGCAACCAUUCCCCAUGGUUAUCUCCUGUUCAUCCAAUUUUAUCAUCUGACAUUUCCAUUCUUAUUUGAAGUUGGUUUGUAGAUCUAGGGUUAUAGGUGGAAAGUUGCACACAACAUUUUCUCAUUUGAAUGCUUCCUCAGAUUGGCCUAUAAAGGCUCACACAACCCUCACUCCACCACAAUUCAUCUUCCCUUCCAGUCUGCUAUUUCACCCUUAAUUUGUUUGUCAUCAAUUGUUGAGAUGGCUGGUCCUAUUAAUUCAAUGAAUCAAAGGAGUCUUAUUCCUCGAAGAGAUUUAUGGAGUGUGAAAGUGUUCUCUCUGGUUCUAGAAGCUGUGGUUUUUCUUGAAAAUAAAUUAUAAGCUGUUUUUUUUUUGCUGUUUCUCACUUGCAGGGAUGAUUUCCCUAGCUUGCAAUUUCAAUUCUUUUUCCCCUCUGAAUGACUUUGACGGUUCAAAGAUUUUGAAGACACUAAAUUUGUUGCAGUGAAGGUUGUAUUAAGACCACCAAAGCCCUGGGUAAGACCUGGGAGUAAAGGAGCAGUAGAGAAUCAGUUUUUUGAUAGCCAUCUUGCUCCAAUUUACAGAAUUUAACAGGUUAUGCAUAAAUGUAUGGACAUCAACUGUGUACAGAACCUUCUCUAAGCCUCAAUGCUCAGGAGGUUUUAGAAGCAAUUGUGUAAGCUGCAAGGAGGAUUAUUUAUGAAGGCUGUUGAAGAUAUGGGAGUUCAAGCUGAUGUGUGCAAUUGUGACAUUAGGAGGGCAAGGCAUUGGUCGUUUCAUUUUUAUUAAAAAAGAAAAUGAGUGUAUACUUUUGAAAUUAAUUCAGCUGUAGCACAUGUUUUUUCAAUAAAAGGAAUUGUAUAAAUUUUGUAGGUGGAACUUAGAAGUAUGUGGAAAAGGUGCAGUGAUGUCUCUUAUUUUAUAUGCAAAAUUGGUUUAUUCGUAAGGAAUACA